GACAGAGGGGGCGAGCGUUGUCCGGAGUCACUGGGCGUAAAGCGCGCGCAGGCGGCAACCUUAGUGUCGUGUGAAAGCCCCCGGCUCAACCGGGGGAGGCCAUGGCAAACUGGGUCGCUCGAGCUGCGGAGAGGCUCCUCGAAUUGCCGGUGUAGCGGUGAAAUGCGUAGAGAUCGGCAGGAAGACCAAGGGGGAAGCCAGGGGGCUGGCCGCAGGCUGACGCUGAGGCGAGACAGCGUGGGGAGCAAACCGG
rnacentral:rRNA from 1 species